UAACAAAAUCUAAAUAAAAUACCAAAUGUGAAUUUUUUUUAUUUUGGAUCUUUGUUGGACUAAAGCCCAACACCAACACACCUAGAAAUUAGGAGACGAGUUCUUCUUCAUCCAGUAUGUAGUCACUGCUACAGAUGCCACCAUAUUUGAAACUCGUCAAGUGCCGCAGGUUCUGCCUUGAGCUCCGCUCCCUGAAAGCACCAACCAUGUAAUCCUUCCGAACGAGGGCUUUGUUUCCUUUUUUUUCUCCAUUCUUUCUCCUUAUCACCGAUCCAAAGCUCCAACCUUUUAUGUGAAUUAAACCAUUAGUCUUUCUUGUUUUCAAAAACCACUCUCUGAUUUCUUUUCCUUAGCCACAAAGGAAGAGAAGUGAGAGAACAUAGGAACACAAAUAGUAAUAGGGACGAAAACUGUCACGCCAUUCUCUUAUCUUUGUCUAGGCGAUAUGGUGAGAAUUAUGGGUAGCAACGCUGUGGAGGCUGUAAGGUUGUUCAUAGAUUGAAUUGGAUCUCCAUAUGUGUGUGGAGAGGCACAUUGUUCGACGAUUAACGGAGAAAAAAUCAUGGCGUCAUUCUCUUCUAAACGUUGAAACAAAGCAUAACGAGCUUCAUUGCUAACGAAGGAACAGAAAAUGAGAGCAAAAGUGAGAACGACGAAGACAAGAGAGACGAAGAAACAGAAAAGAGAAAGUGACGACGAAGGAUUCUCUUUUCAGCGAGAGUUUUGGUUUGAUUUGAUAAAGAUUGUGUUUAUUGAGUUUAUUUGAUCAAUGUAUCUGAAUUUGUAAUCUAUGGAUUAGGGUUUAUUUAUUUGUUUGAUAUUUGAUUGUUAAAUUUGAAAUGCAUAACUGAAGGUUGAGAGUUU